GGAAACCAAGCUUUUGCGUUUUGAAGUAUGUAGGUUCCAGGGAUCAUUCUUUGGUGGCCAGACUCGAUGCCCUAAUUACCCAACUUCAUAAAAAUUCAAAUUACUCAAAUUACUACUGGAGACCCAGACUACAAAUGAACUUGGGAUCACAGGGCAUCACAGCCUAAAGCACCACCGAGGACACUUGUGUGUUGUUUAUGGCCCGACUCUCCUCGUGCUAGCGACGGUUGGAAACGAGGACUUUGGUCACUUCUAGUCAUUCUUCAAGCCUCAGCUCCGGGAACUUUGUCUGAUACUCAGUAUUUGCAGGGGGAUGGAGGAGAGAUAAUGCAUCUCUCACAGGGCAGAGCAGAGAUGAUUUUAAGUGAUGGAAAGAAGGUGCUUUGAAAGGGGGAGGAAAGAAAACCAUUUUGAGGUAGACCAGUAAUGAAACUACUUAGGAGUUUCCUGCUCUCCAUGUGAGCCCCCCCAGGAAAGGAAAAUGCUGUAAAUGGACAAUAAAGAAAUAGAUGUUUUCAUGGGUGUCUUGUGGGAUUAAAAAUACA